CAACAUUUGAGCCGCUUAUUUUGAAAGUGACCUAACUCCGUUUUUCAAUUUUUUGCCGGUUACCAUGGUUACAUGUACAACUUCAUGUUAUUUAUCAGUGACGCACUUCAGAUUGCUUAUAUUCAGAGAAAAUACGGUACAUUUUUUACACAUAGGUUUUCCGAAUUAAUUGAAUAACUGACCCGUGUGGUUUGAAAGUGGCCUAACUCCAUUUAUAGUUACAUCAAGGUAUUUACUAUUGAUAAUGUCGGAAAGCUGCGAUGAAGAAAUUAUUGCAAGCAUGAGGAAGAACCGAAGAAGACCGCUCAGUUCAGAUAGUGAAAAAGAAAUAGUAAUUAAUAAUUUAAAAAAAGCGAAUAAGAAAAAGAGUUAUAAAAUAAUAUUCCUCGUCAGAGGAUGAAGAUUCAAAUAACAAUGGAGAAAAGAUUGAUGCACCAUAUAUCCAAAAA